AGGAUGAAGGAUCUAUGGUUUGUAAACUUCUUUUAUAGGGGAAUAAAGUGUGGGACGUGUCCCAUUUUGUAUGUACCCUAUGAAUAAGCAUCGGCUAACUCCGUGCCAGCAGCCGCGGUAAUACGGAGGAUGCGAGCGUUAUCCGGAUUUAUUGGGUUUAAAGGGUGCGUAGGUGGUAAUUUAAGUCAGCGGUGAAAGUUUGUGGCUCAACCAUAAAAUUGCCGUUGAAACUGGGUUACUUGAGUGUGUUUGAGGUAGGCGGAAUGCGUGGUGUAGCGGUGAAAUGCAUAGAUAUCACGCAGAACUCCAAUUGCGAAGGCAGCUUACUAAACCAUAACUGACACUGAAGCACGAAAGCGUGGGUAUCAAACAGGAUUAGAUACCCUGGUAGUCCACGCAGUAAACGAUGAUUACUAGGAGUUUGCGAUACACAGUAAGCUCUACAGCGAAAGCGUUAAGUAAUCCACCUGGGGAGUACGCCGGCAACGGUGAAACUCAAAGGAAUUGACGGGGGCCCGCACAAGCGGAGGAACAUGUGGUUUAAUUCGAUGAUACGCGAGGAACCUUACCCGGGUUUGAACGUAGUCAGACCGGCCUUGAAAGAGGUCUUCUAGCAAUAGCUGAUUACGAGGUGCUGCAUGGUUGUCGUCAGCUCGUGCCGUGAGGUGUCGGCUUAAGUGCCAUAACGAGCGCAACCCUUAUCACUAGUUACUAACAGGUCAAGCUGAGGACUCUGGUGAGACUGCCAGCGUAAGCUGUGAGGAAGGUGGGGAUGACGUCAAAUCAGCACGGCCCUUACAUCCGGGGCGACACACGUGUUACAAUGGCAUGGACAAAGGGCAGCUACCUGGCGACAGGAUGCUAAUCUCUAAACCAUGUCUCAGUUCGGAUCGGAGUCUGCAACUCGACUCCGUGAAGCUGGAUUCGCUAGUAAUCGCGCAUCAGCCAUGGCGCGGUGAAUACGUUCCCGGGCCUUGUACACACCGCCCGUCAAGCCAUGGGAGCCGGGGGUACCUGAAGUCCGUAACCGCAAGGAUCGGCCUAGGGUAAAACUGGUGACUGGGGCUAAGUCGUAACAAGGUAGCCGUACCGGAAGGUGCGGCUG
rnacentral:rRNA from 1 species